GGACCCGCACAAGCGGUGGAUGAUGUGGAUUAAUUCGAUGCAACGCGAAAAACCUUACCUACCCUUGACAUGUGAGGAACUUGUGAGAGAUCACUUGGUGCCCGAAAGGGAACCUCAACACAGGUGCUGCAUGGCUGUCGUCAGCUCGUGUCGUGAGAUGUUGGGUUAAGUCCCGCAACGAGCGCAACCCUUGUCAUUAGUUGCUACAUUUAGUUGAGCACUCUAAUGAGACUGCCGGUGACAAACCGGAGGAAGGUGGGGAUGACGUCAAGUCCUCAUGGCCCUUAUGGGUAGGGCUUCACACGUCAUACAAUGGCGCGUACAGAGGGUUGCCAACCCGCAAGGGGGAGCUAAUCCCAGAAAGCGCGUCGUAGUCCGGAUUGUUCUCUGCAACUCGAGAACAUGAAGUCGGAAUCGCUAGUAAUCG
rnacentral:rRNA from 1 species